rnacentral:rRNA from 1 species
GACGGAAGGUGCAAGCGUUGCUCGGAAUCACUGGGCGUAAAGGGUGCGUAGGCGGCCUGGUAAGUCUGGCGUGAAAGCCCAGGGCUCAGCCCUGGAAGUGCGCUAGAAACUGCAAGGCUGGAGUGCCGGAGGGGAGAGUGGAAUUCCUGGUGUAGCGGUGAAAUGCGUAGAUAUCAGGAGGAAUACCGGUGGCGAAAGCGACUCUCUGGACGGCAACUGACGCUGAGGCACGAAAGCGUGGGGAGCAAACAGG